CCAGGGUCCCCAUUUUACAGGAAAGGGUUCCUUCUCCACAAAGGGACCUACACAGCUGGUUCUUCGUCCUCAGAUACAGUCUCUGCCCUGUCCUCUGGAGGCCAAUCCCUGCCGGCCCUGGGGUCCCUCCAUGACCUAUGGCUGCUCUGUUGGGGGUCAGCCAGGAGCAGCAGGGGGAAAUGACCUGACUGCCAGUUCCUGCCAGGGGCUGAACAACCCCACAGGCAGGUGGGGUGCCUGGCUCUGUCGAGGGAUCCGCAUGCCUUGACCGUACUCUCAGACCUGUCGAAUACCAGGCGCUGAAAAUCACCACGGGCAUUCAUGCCUGUCUCCGUGAGCAAAGCAAGGUUUGAGCGUGUGCCCCUUACCAGCGGUCCCAAAAGACACUCAACAAUACUGCCUAUUGUGCGGGGGUUGUUUGCAAGUUUCCCACCACACGGAAUCCCACUUGCUCUCACAGCAGAUUGUCAGUGACUCUUUGGGUGUGGGGAGCAUGAUUCCAGAGGUCUUCUGGGUGCACAGAAUUAAACAAUUUCAUGAGAAAGCAGAAAUUUCGACAGAUCCCCCUCAGGUGUGAAUUUCUUUGCAGCUCCACCACCUUUGCCGGCCUGCACUCAGUGCUGCAAUCAGAGGCAGGUAGAAAUCAAAUUAGCCUUUGAAGCCACAGAGCUCACGGACAAGGCAACCACUAUUGAGAGAAUCAGCCGGUUGUGUCAGUGUCCAGGAUCAGUGAAGCGAGGGACGAGUGGAGGUGAGAGCCCUAGAGAGAGAUGGAAGCUGCACUGGGGAGUGGGGAGAACCCCUCCCCCCAAGGGGCAUACUUGACUAAUGGCGUGGUGGUUAAGCUGCCUUCUAAUGGUGAACCCAGAUGAGCAGGGCCCUGGUUUGACUGAAUUGGAAUGUCCACAUUUGGGAUGUUGCCCCAGAGAUACUCCUUCUCCUUCCUUACCCCUCUGUCUCUCAAAUAUGGUGGACAGAUAUUAAAGAAAAUG